AUUGAACGCUGGCGGCAGGCCUAACACAUGCAAGUCGAACGAGUGGCGGACGGGUGAGUAAUGCUUGGGAAUCUGGCUUAUGGAGGGGGAUAACGACGGGAAACUGUCGCUAAUACCGCAUACCAUCGGAUGAGCCCAAGUGGGAUUAGGUAGUAGGUGGGGUAAUGGCGCACCAGGCCGACGAUCCCUAGCUGGUCUGAGAGGAUGACCAGCCACACCGGAACUGAGACACGGCCCAGACUCCUACGGGAGGAAGCAGUGGGGAAUAUUGCGAAAUGGGGGCAAGCCUGACGCAGCCAUGCCGCGUGAAUGAAGAAGGCCUUCGGGUUGUAAAGUACUUUCGGUGAGGAGGCGUUAAUCACAGAAGAAGCACCGGCUAACUCCGUGCCAGCAGCCGCGGUAAUAC
rnacentral:rRNA from 1 species